rnacentral:lncRNA from 1 species
GGAGGGCAAGGUGGGUGGAUCUCGAGGGCAGGAGAUUGAGACCCUCCUGGCCAACAUGGUGAAACCCCGUCUCUACUAAAAUACAAAAAAUUAGCUGGGCAUGGUGGAGCACACCUGUAGUCCCAGCUACUCUGGAGGCUGAGGCAGGGGAAUCGCCUAAACCCAGGAGGCAGAGAUUGCAGUGAGCCCAGUUUCCGCCACUGCGCUUUAGCCUGGCGACAGAGCAAGGCUCCGUCUCAAAAAAAAAAAAAAAAAUUUAAAGGGGAAAAAAUUGAAAUUUUCUUUGUAUCUAGGGAUAUCCUUCACUGAACAGAAAUUCUUAAUUUUAGCUAGGCGUGAUGGCUCACGUCUGUAAUCCCAGCACUUUCGGUGGCCGAGAUGGGUGGAUCACUUGAGGCCAGGAGUUCAAGACCACUCUGACCAACUUGGUGAAAUCCCAUCUCUACUAAAAAUACAAAAAUUAGCUGGGUGCAGUGGCGCAUGCUUGUAAUAUCCCAGCUACUCGGGAGGCAGAGGCAGGAGAAUCACUUGAACCCGGGAGGUGGAGGCUGCAGUGAGCCGAGACAGCGCCACUGCACUUCAGCCUGAGUGACAAAGAGACUCUGUCUCAAAAAAAAAAAAAAGAAAAUUUUAAUUUUAAUGUAGACAGGAUGAAUUAUCUUGUUUUGCAGUUGGUUGCUUUUUGAUUGCUUAUUUAAUAGAGUUGUUAAGAUAUUUUACGUCUUCUGUUAGCUGUUCAGCUUUUCCUUUCAUAUUGAGAACACUACACAGUGCUGAAGUCCAGCUGGUGCACACAGGGGUGGCACCUUGGCUGCAUCUGUUCUCAACAGUCAGACACUUCUCAUUGGUUGAUGCUGGGCUGUACUGGUUGCUAAAUAUUGCACAUCAUUUUAAAACUAUUUGAGAUGCACUUUUGUACUCAGAAGGCCGAGGCAGGAGGAUUGCUUGAGCCCAGGAAUUUGAGACCAGCCUGGGCAACACAGCGAGACCUUGUCUCUUAAAAAAAAAAAGAGAGAGAAAUCGGCCGGGCAUGGUUUCUCAUGUCUGUAAUCCCAGAACUUUGGGAGGCUGAGGCAGGUGGAUCACCGGAGGUCAGGAAUUCAAGACUGAAACCUUGUCUCUACUGAAAAAAAAAAAAAAUUAGCUAGGUGUGGUGGCAGGCGCCUGUAAUCCCAGUUACUUCGGGAGGCUGAGGCAGGAGAAUAGCUUGAACCCAGGAGGCAGAGGUUGCAGUGAGCCAAGAUCAUGCCAUUGCACUCCAGCCUGGGCGACAAGAGUGAAACUCUGUCUCAAAAAAAAAAAAAAAAAAAA